UUCAUGGAGAGUUUGAUCCUGGCUCAGGACGAACGCUGGCGGCGUGCCUAAUACAUGCAAGUCGUGCGGGGACCCUCGGGUCCCAGCGGCGAACGGGUGAGUAACACGUGGGCAACCUGCCCGCAAGACCGGG
rnacentral:rRNA from 1 species